rnacentral:rRNA from 1 species
UACGUAGGGUGCAAGCGUUGUCCGGAAUUAUUGGGCGUAAAGAGCUCGUAGGCGGUUUGUCGCGUCGAAUGUGAAAACCCGGGGCUCAACCCCGGGCCUGCAUUCGAUACGGGCAGACUAGAGUUCGGUAGGGGAGUCUGGAAUUCCUGGUGUAGCGGUGAAAUGCGCAGAUAUCAGGAGGAACACCGGUGGCGAAGGCGGGGUCUCUGGGCAGUAACUGACGCUGAGGAGCGAAAGCGUGGGGAGCGAACAGG